GCCGUCAAUUCAUUUGAGUUUCACACUUGCGUGCAUACUCCCCAGGCGGAGGACUCACUGCGUUAACUUCAGCACUGAGGUUUCACCCCCAACACUUGGUCCUCAUCGUUUACGGCGUGGACUACUAGGGUAUCUAAUCCUAUUUGCUCCCCACGCUUUCGUGCCUCAGCGUCAGCAACAGGCCAGGCGGCCGCCUUCGCCACUGGUGUUCUUCCAUAUAUCUACGCAUUUUACCGCUACACAUGGAGUUCCACCGCCCUCUCCUGCUCUCCAGUCCUCCAGUUUCCAAAGCCAUGCAUGAGUUGAGCUCAUGCGUUUCACUCCAGACUUGCAGGACCGCCUGCGCACCCUUUACGCCCAAUCAUUCCGGAUAACGCUCGCCACCUACGUAUUACCGCGG
rnacentral:misc_RNA from 1 species